CAUUAAAAAGUCGAAUGAAAAUAGUAAUAAAAUUUUGUUAUUUGUACACUCUCAUUUUCUAUUACUUAAAAAUAAAAUUCGGUUUAAUUAUAAACUAAAAUAGGUUUAUUUCAAUGAGAGUGUAACUUCAAAACGAUAAGUUAAAAAGUGGAAAAAAAGAAAAAAAAAAGUAAAUUUUCCAGCAAUAAUAGUGCAAAAAUUCGUCAGAGGGGGUCUGGCCAUGGCCCAGGCGAGGCAAUUAAUAUCCAAAAUAAAUAAAAUUACAAUGGAUCAAAGUGUUUCUUGGCCAGCAGCUAUCAAGAUGCUUCAACCCGAGAGCCACCGAAAAAUUCCGGUAGUACGUUCCGGACCCCCUGGCUGGUAGUCCCUCUGAAUGGAGUUUGCAUGAAAUGUUAUUGAAACCAUCGUACCAGCUAGUUUUGUCACUGCCGGCGUUUUGAUUUCGAAAAUAAAUAAUUUUAUAUUUUA